AUACCCCAUAACCACUGCGAUCUCGCAUGGGGAAGCAGUUAAAAUUACGAUGGUUAAGGAUGGGCAUGCGUGACAUUAGCUAGUUGGUGAGGUAACGGCUCACCAAGGCGACGAUGUCUAGGGGGCCUGAGAGGGUAGUCCCCCACACUGGUACUGAGACACGGACCAGACUCCUACGGGAGGCAGCAGUGAGGAAUAUUGCGCAAUGGACGAAAGUCUGACGCAGCCACGCCGCGUGCAGGAUGACGGUCCUAUGGAUUGUAAACUGCUUUUGUAUAGGAAGAAACUUAACUACGUGUAGUUGACUGACGGUACUAUAUGAAUAAGCAUCGGCUAACUCCGUGCCAGCAGCCGCGGUAAUACGGAGGAUGCAAGCGUUAUCCGGAUUUAUUGGGUUUAAAGGGUGCGUAGGCGGAAACUUAAGUCAGUGGUGAAAUCCUGCAGCUUAACUGUAGCACUGCCAUUGAUACUGAGAUUCUUGAGUACGGUUGAGGUAGGCGGAAUGUGUAAUGUAGCGGUGAAAUGCUUAGAUAUUACACAGAACACCGAUUGCGUAGGCAGCUUACCAAGCCGCAACUGACGCUGAGGCACGAAAGCGUGGGGAUCGAACAGGAUUAGAUACCCUGGUAGUCCACGCUGUAAACGAUGAUCACUAGCUGUUGGCGAUAGAUAGUCAGCGGCAAAGCGAAAGCAUUAAGUGAUCCACCUGGGGAGUACGGCGGCAACGCUGAAACUCAAAGGAAUUGACGGGGGCCCGCACAAGCGGAGGAACAUGUGGUUUAAUUCGAUGAUACGCGAGGAACCUUACCUGGGCUUAAAUGUAGAACGACGUUUCGGGAAACCGGAAUUCCCUUCGGGGCGUUUUACAAGGUGCUGCAUGGUUGUCGUCAGCUCGUGCCGUGAGGUGUCGGGUUAAGUCCCAUAACGAGCGCAACCCUUAUCGUUAGUUGCCAGCGGGUAAUGCCGGGGACUCUAGCGAAACUGCCGGUGUAAACCGAGAGGAAGGUGGGGAUGACGUCAAAUCAGCACGGCCCUUAUGUCCAGGGCUACACACGUGUUACAAUGGUCGGUACAGAGGGCAGCUACUGGGUGACCAGAUGCAAAUCUCGAAAGCCGAUCCUAGUUCGGAUCGAAGUCUGCAACUCGACUUCGUGAAGCUGGAUUCGCUAGUAAUCGCGCA
rnacentral:rRNA from 1 species